rnacentral:rRNA from 1 species
AGAGUUUGAUCCUGGCUCAGGAUGAACGCUAGCUACAGGCUUAACACAUGCAAGUCGAGGGGAAACGACAUCGAAAGCUUGCUUUUGAUGGGCGUCGACCGGCGCACGGGUGAGUAACGCGUAUCCAACCUGCCCACCACUUGGGGAGUAACCUUGCGAAAGUAAGACUAAUACCCAAUGAUAUCUCUAGAAGACAUCUGAAAGAGAUUAAAGAUUUAUCGGUGAUGGAUGGGGAGUGCGUCUGAUUAGCUUGUUGGCGGGGUAACGGCCCACCAAGGCGACGAUCAGUAGGGGUUCUGAGAGGAAGGUCCCCACACUUGGAACUGAGACACGGUCCAAACUCCUACGGGAGGCA